ensembl:lncRNA
UAGUGGUCUGUGUGUGAAAUGUCAGGUCGUAGUGGUGUAUGGUGAAAAUGUCAGGCUGUAGUGGUCAAGGGUGAAAAUGUCAGGCUGUAGUGGUCAAGGGUGAAAAUGUCAGGUUGUAGUGGUCUGUGGUGAAAAUGUCAGGUCGUAGUGGUGUAUGGUGAAAAUGUCAGGCUGUAGUGGUCUGUGGUGAAAAUGUCAGGCUGUAGUGGUCUGUGGUGAAAAUGUCAGGCUGUAGUGGUGUAUGGUGAAAAUGUCAGGCUGUAGUGGUCUGUGGUGAAAAUGUCAGGUCGUAGUGGUGGGAGUGUUUGAACAGACACAAUUCUAGUGACAAACUGUCUGGAGAUUACAGCCCCACCCGUCAAGCGCGAAAACAACCGUGUUCUUGCAAAGUAAAGAAUGAGGGGAAAAAAAUAAAAUGGCCGAGUGUUGGCUCUGGUAGAGAACGAAACAAACAUCAUGUUCAGGCAUGGUCCUAUAGAGAAGUAGUCAUCUUAAUAAACACUGAAGUGUUCACUACAAUAAACAUGAGUCAUUCUCUCUCUCUUCCUCUUUCUUCCAGAUCUUCUGGUUUGUCCUUUAUUUCUCCUCGGGAAGUGAUCACGAGUGCUGGAAUUAACCCUCUUUCACUGUGCUGCUUGGAACGGACUGCCACAC